UUGUGUUAGCAGCAAGUUUGGUGAUGCUUCCUUGCUCUUGUGAUCCAUCAUAUAUCUUGUGAUAUUUAUUGCUUUAUAAAUGUUGGUGGUCACAUGAGAAUCUGAGCUGUUCGUUUCUAUGCUGUUUCUAGGCCUCAUGGUCAGACGGAUAUUUUAGGGCCCUCCUGUGAGCCUGAAGACAAGGAUAUCAGAAGACAAAUAGACCUUCAGCAAAGCUACAGCAACCAAAUGGACCGUGCUGUGCGAAACUCAACGUCAUGUUCAUCCCAGCAGACUGAUGGAGAUCAAAAAUUACCUUAUCACCUGAAGGUCUGCGGAGAAGCCAGGAGAUGUUGAAACCUCCCACCACCUCCAACAUCAAAGGCUGCAGCAGCUGCCUCAGCAAGGCUGCUCCGGGAGGGAUGCGCUGCAAGUGAUACCAACAGCAGGGAUAGGGACAGACUCAGCUGGAGAAAGGGGAAAGCAAAGCUGGAAAGGGGCCAGGCUGCAGAAAACAUGGGAAAAUCAAGGCUCACAGAACAGAAAAGGACAAAAAGACGAAAUGAAAGGAUAAUUGCAGAUGGGGAAAUGAUGCCAACAGAGAGGUAUUGUGACUCAACAGACGCCUUGGGGUGAUGGAGGAUGUUGUCAGGCAGAAGAGGGGGCUGGAGUGUCUGAAUCCCAACUCCUCCAGUCGGACCACAAGGGACUUCCAGCAAGCCUCAGCAAGCCCCUUCUGAGCUUGCUAUCUCCACUUCUCCGUGCAGAACAAUAAAACUCACCUCCUUGCUGCAGGCCUUUUGAGAUCUGCUACUGCAAUGAGCCACACAAGUGCAGGGUACCUUUUUAUCUGUAUGUGAUGAAUGUUCCUUUAAAGUCUCCUCGGGCUGCUCAGAUGAUUCUCACUCCUAAUGGGGACAGCUGGCUCAUUGAUGUAAGAGGCCAUCCAUCAGGCUGACCCACUGAAAGGCUUCUACUGUGGCUCUGGUUGUAGCUGCCAAAAGAAGCACUCCAGAAUUGCCUUUGAAAUAUUGUAUUUUAAAGUGGAUAAGGAGGGAUUGGAAUGUCCUCAUCCAGCCUUUGUUAUUUGACUGCUUUUGAAUGAUCCUUUUCAAGAAGAGGUCGAGCAUAUAUGAGUAAAAAAAGGAAAGAGAAUAACAAGGCUUAAUGCUCCUUUUUACAUUUUAUAAAUUUGAUGUAAAAAUAGUUAUAACAAAAACACAAAUCCCACGGUCUGCCUUCCUAUUUGCAAAGGCUGUAAUGAGCUGACAUUUGAAUGAGUCUGGAAAAUUGUCUUUAAUAACUCCUCAGAGGCCUCAGAGUGGGAAAACCUAUUAUUGCUGCCUGAUUUGGAAGUUAUUGUUUUAAGAAUUUUUUUGGAGAUGCAAACCUCUUUCAGGUUGCAAUUUUGCAUCUUCUGAGCAAGCAAGUCUCACGAUGCGCUGUCUCACAUCGUGAAGCUUCUGCAGAUUGUAAAGGAUGGGGAACUGCUCCAAGAGGUUUGCUUCAUGUUUGUCUCCAGAAAAAGGCGGGAGGGGUGAAAUCCAUUGACCUCUAAUUCCUGCUCACUUCAUAAACUGCUGUCUUAUGCGAUGGGCCAGGAUACACUUAUACCAAAGUAGGGAAAUUGUUAGGAGAGUUCCUCCUGUUCUGAACAGCACAUCCAUGUUUACCUGCUUGCCAUUUUCUUAUUAAUAAUGAGUCUAUAGUCCUUCUCAAGGUCUCAGAGGAUGGUUAUGGGAGCUCUCAGAGUGGUUUGGCUGAUGUUGGUGUCAUUUGGUGCCCAAACCUUACAGACCACUCCUUGCACAUGUUGCUCACAGGUGGUACCAGCAGUAGGAGAGCAAGAUACACUGAGGAAAGGGCACAAGUUGAGAUGGGGGAUAGUGCUAAAGAUGAACUGUGAUUAUUUUGGUAGGAUGUACGAGACUGUGUAACAAAAUGCACAAGAAGCCAGCCUUCAUUAACUUCAUUACCUAAAUAAAUUAUCU